GGAAACGUAGCUCAGCGGGAGAGCGCCUGCCUUACAAGCAGGAGGUCACAGGUUCAAACCCUGUCGUUUCCACCA
rnacentral:tRNA from 1 species